CAGAACCUUACCACCCCUUGACACUGCCACGCCUGGCGCAGAGAUGCGCUUUCCCCGCAAGGGGCGUGGUGCACAGGUGCUGCAUGGCUGUCGUCAGCUCGUGUCGUGAGAUGUUGGGUUAAGUCCCGCAACGAGCGCAACCCUCGCCUUUAGUUGCCAGCAUGUUUGGGUGGGCACUCUAGAGGAACUGCCGGUGACAAGCCGGAGGAAGGUGGGGAUGACGUCAAGUCCUCAUGGCCCUUAUGGGCUGGGCUACACACGUGCUACAAUGGCGGUGACAGUGGGAUGCCAGGCAGCGAUGCCGAGCUGAUCCCCAAAAGCCGUCUCAGUUCAGAUCGCGGCCUGCAACUCGGCCGCGUGAAGGUGGAAUCGCUAGUAAUCGCGGAUCAGCACGCCGCGGUGAAUACGUUCCCGGGCCUUGUACACACCGCCCGUCACACCAUGGGAGUUGGUUCUACCUUAAGCAGGUGCGCUAACCGGCAAUCGUGACAACUACCACUAGAGUACUCGUACGCGCCCCCCA
rnacentral:rRNA from 1 species